rnacentral:rRNA from 1 species
AUUGAACGCUGGCGGCAGGCCUAACACAUGCAAGUCGAACGGUAGCACAGAGAGCUUGCUCUCGGGUGACGAGUGGCGGACGGGUGAGUAAUGUCUGGGAAACUGCCCGAUGGAGGGGGAUAACUACUGGAAACGGUAGCUAAUACCGCAUAACGUCGCAAGACCAAAGUGGGGGACCUUCGGGCCUCACACCAUCGGAUGUGCCCAGAUGGGAUUAGCUAGUAGGUGGGGUAAUGGCUCACCUAGGCGACGAUCCCUAGCUGGUCUGAGAGGAUGACCAGCAACACUGGAACUGAGACACGGUCCAGACUCCUACGGGAGGCAGCAGUGGGGAAUAUUGCACAAUGGGCGCAAGCCUGAUGCAGCCAUGCCGCGUGUAUGAAGAAGGCCUUCGGGUUGUAAAGUACUUUCAGCGGGGAGGAAGGCGGUGGAGUUAAUAACUUCACCGAUUGACGUUACCCGCAGAAGAAGCACCGGCUAACUCCGUGCCAGCAGCCGCCGUAA